UACGGAGGGUGCAAGCGUUAUCCGGAUUCACUGGGUUUAAAGGGUGCGUAGGUGGGCAAGUAAGUCAGUGGUGAAAUCUCCGGGCUUAACCCGGAAACUGCCAUUGAUACUAUUUGUCUUGAAUACUGUGGAGGUCAGCGGAAUAUGUCAUGUAGCGGUGAAAUGCUUAGAUAUGACAUAGAACACCAAUUGCGCAGGCAGCUUACUACACAGUAAUUGACACUGAGGCACGAAAGCGUGGGGAUCAAACAGG
rnacentral:rRNA from 1 species